rnacentral:siRNA from 1 species
GGAGUCUUCAAGGUAUGACUA